AUUCCUCCACCCUAGACUCUUUUGUCGAAAGGCUGGGACUUGGGGGUCUUGCGGGGUUCUCUGGCCCCGCUCCCCUUGAAUAGAUCAGUGAAGACCCUCGCGGCCCUCGGUGUGAUAGAUAUCUACGCCGCGGGGAGUGGGAAUCAGGCCUUUGCUCCUAACAGUCCGACCGGGACAACAAACUUUGA
rnacentral:misc_RNA from 1 species